UUUAGGCAGGGUUUUGGAAGGGUGAAGCUUCCACUGGCAGGGCUUUCUGUUGGCGCUUCUACCCUUCGCCCAACCCAGAUGAAAACAAACCUUUAUUCACAGUGUACAGAGAGUUCCUCUCGCUGGCUACUUCACACAUGUAAGGAG